rnacentral:rRNA from 1 species
UACGUAGGGUGCGAGCGUUGUCCGGAUUUAUUGGGCGUAAAGAGCUCGUAGGCGGUUUGUCGCGUCGGCCGUGAAAUCUCCACGCUUAACGUGGAGCGUGCGGUCGAUACGGGCAGACUUGGGUUCGGUAGGGGAGACUGGAAUUCCUGGUGUAGCGGUGAAAUGCGCAGAUAUCAGGAGGAACACCGGUGGCGAAGGCGGGUCUCUGGGACGGUACUGACGCUGAGACGCGAAAGCGUGGGGAGCGAACAGG